GAAGUAUUACAUAAUCAUGUACUCUGUACUGUCUCUAAACUUUUCUCUGUAGAGACACAAGGUGGACAUCGAGCGCUGGAGACAAAGAAGGCAGUCCAGGAAAGGCAUUUAUGUAUCACCAUUACUAAAAGCUUUCCCUUUCAAGAAAACCAAAAAAGUAGGAUGAUGUUGUUUGAUGAUGACCUCAGUAUUUUGAUACAGUCCAUACCACAGAACAGCAAUUCUUAUGAUAUGCAUAAUGCACUUUUUUUAUGCAGCCAAGACUGCUGACAAAGACAACUGGAUCAUGGGCAACAAACAAAGAAGAAAUCUGUGAGCAAAACUUGUCUUCAAAAGCUUCUACUGGGCAGCCCAAGUCCAAAAAAAAAAAAAAACCCAAAAAAACAAGAGGGUAAUGGAAAAGUAGAGUAUAAUACUUCACAGGUAAGACUAGGUGAAGUUGAGGCAAAUCUAAGGGUAUAAUAACAUUACACUACACACAUACUCCUACAUUACUCAUUUGUGAUAUGUAAAUGCCGAUUCCCUCUUUGUCCUUUUAGCCAUCAAAAGAUUCAGUUGGAGAGCCCAAGCCCAGAAAAGAAGAAAAGGACAUUGUCACUGAGGCCGCAAGUCACAUCCUAAAUGAUGACACUGUGCAGGUAAGUAAUAAUAAUAAUAAUAAUAAUAAUAAUAAUUAUAAAACACAGAAUAUUGAAUGAACAAUAUUUUGUAUGUCUAUUAUGUUAAUAAAAAAGCCAGGUAGGAGACAUAUCUGUUGUGCAAUGUGUUAAAUGCAGUACAAAAUAUGGUCAUUAAUGAUUCUGUUCCCACCAAUGUCAUUUUAUCAAGGCUCUCUGGAAUUUGAAGGACACUGAAGUGGUGCUUGCAGUGGUUCAGUCAAUUGAGUGUUAUUAGAUAGAUAUUUAAGGAGUAAAAGACAGUCCACUGUAAAUGACACAUGGAAUUCUUAGGAUACUUUUGAAUACGUUUUAUAAAUAUUUUUUAUGUAAAAGGACAGAUAAUAUUUUUACCAAAUGAUUUACAGAACAUUAUUUAUUGUAAAUUGAAAUGCUUAAUGUCAUCAACCUUUCAAUAC
ensembl:lncRNA